GACGAACGCUGGCGGCGUGCUUAACACAUGCAAGUCGAACGGUGAAAGGGAGCUUGCUCCCUGGAUCAGUGGCGAACGGGUGAGUAACACGUGGGCAACCUGCCCCAGACUUCGGGAUAACGCUUCGAAAGAGGUGCUAAUACCGGAUACGAACUCCUUGGGCAUCCUUGGAGUUGGAAAGUUUUUCGGUCUGGGAUGGGCCCGCGGCCUAUCAGCUUGUUGGUGAGGUAACGGCUCACCAAGGCGACGACGGGUAGCCGGCCUGAGAGGGCGACCGGCCACACGGGGACUGAGACACGGUCCAGACUCCUACGGGAGGCAGCAGUGGGGAAUAUUGGACAAUGGGCGGAAGCCUGAUCCAGCAACGCCGCGUGAGGGAUGACGGCCUUCGGGUUGUAAAGCCCUUUAAGCCGGGACGAAAAAGCUGAGUGACGGUACCUACUAAAGAAGCACCGGCCAACUACGUGCCAGCCGCCGCUGUAACAC
rnacentral:rRNA from 1 species